UGGGGAAUAUUGGACAAUGGGGGCAACCCUGAUCCAGCAAUGCCGCGUGUGUGAAGAAGGUCUUCGGAUUGUAAAGCACUUUCGACGGGGACGAUGAUGACGGUACCCGUAGAAGAAGCCCCGGCUAACUUCGUGCCAGCAGCCGCGGUAAUACGAAGGGGGCUAGCGUUGCUCGGAAUGACUGGGCGUAAAGGGCGUGUAGGCGGUUUACACAGUCAGAUGUGAAAUCCCCGGGCUUAACCUGGGAGCUGCAUUUGAUACGUGUAGGCUAGAGUGUGAGAGAGGGUUGUGGAAUUCCCAGUGUAGAGGUGAAAUUCGUAGAUAUUGGGAAGAACACCGGUGGCGAAGGCGGCAACCUGGCUCAUGACUGACGCUGAGGCGCGAAAGCGUGGGGAGCAAACAGGAUUAGAUACCCUGGUAGUCCACGCUGUAAACGAUGUGUGCUAGAUGUUGGGUAACUUUGUUAUUCAGUGUCGCAGUUA
rnacentral:rRNA from 1 species